rnacentral:rRNA from 1 species
UACAGAGGGUGCAAGCGUUAUCCGGAUUCACUGGGUUUAAAGGGUGCGUAGGUGGUCAGGUAAGUCAGUGGUGAAAUCCCCGAGCUUAACUUGGGAACUGCCGUUGACACUAUCUGUCUUGAAUAUCGUGGAGGUAAGCGGAAUAUGUCAUGUAGCGGUGAAGUGCUUAGAGAUGACAUAGAACACCAAUUGCGAAGGCAGCUUGCUGGACCUGUAUUGACGCUGAGGCACGAAAGCGUGGGGAGCAAACAGG